CUUAAGUGGUCUGUUACUGAACUCGCAGAUCUUGUGAUUUCUAUGUGACAGUUCAUGCGUGGCUUUUCGUGUAGUUAAUAGUUAUUGGAGAGACGAUACAUCCAUGAAGUUUAGACAUCUGUUGGUGAAAGUGGCCGAAAAAACAUGGUGAGAAUCGAUGGGUAAGACACUCCUGAGAAUUUAGGUACUUGUCUACACCUAACGUCAUCUUUGAUACAGAAUCUACUUGGAGCAUCCGUCUACCUGCUAGGAUGAAACCUCUAAUUCUUUGAGAAUGCAAGUCAUCGCAAGCUAUCCUUUUGGAAUCGAUUGCUGUAGUGAAGACUUAUUUUGUAGCAGCUUCUGUAACCAGCUGUAUGGAGAGGGUGACAGGACACCAAGUUGUGGUAAAAGAGUGCCUUCAGAACAUUCUGGAUUAUGACACAGCUUGUGGAGAUGGAUUUUCCACUGAUCUUUUUAUUGGAACACUUGAAUGGACGAUAAUUGUCCCUGGAGCCAGCUAGCAGAUAAAUGAGCUGUUAAGACCCAAAAGCAGGAAACAGCUGACUCAGGUCAGCAGGGAGUAUUCAUUCUUGAUUUUGUAACCGUGACUGGCCCGUGGGAUUUCAUGCUCUCCCUACUAGAUCAGCUGCAGUUUAGGGAGUUUAUGAAGAUCCAAGUCUGUAUUUGUCCAGCUCCUCACCCUUCCUUUGCAAUAUGAGUCAAUGUCAAGGGUGCACCAACCUCCUUUCCUCUUGGUCUUGUUUUCUGCAGAUGCAGACAUUUCUAUGCAAUUUUAUUGGGACUCAUGCUGAUCUUCACACUGACUGGACACAAUUUUUGUUAUGGGUCAGCUUACCCAACUGCAUCCAUGUCUGCUUUACACUGAGCAAUGCCCAAGAUUCGCCAUCCUACAAUACCAGCAGUUUUCUCCUUCCAAGUUAAACAUCCAUUUUUAAUUUUACUCCACCAGUCCUUCAGGGCAUCAAGAAAUUGUACAUCUUUUCUUUCCAGCAGAGGUCAAUCACAAGCCUGGUGGGGGCGUCUAAAAGUCUCGUUGGUUCUGGAGGUGUGGAGCCUUUGGUUAGUGAUCCCCUUCAUGAUAGAAUUGGAACAGACCCAUCUGACACCUUUUGUUCCUUGCAGAACCACUGCCCACUAUAGUGAGAAGUUCCAGGUUCCUCAACUUUGAAAAUGAGUCUUACAUUAGCAAAAUAGUCUCCUCUCUGUAGUUUUGAAGGCAUCAAGAAGUUGGAGGGUGGUUGUAGACCACAUGUGACACUUGUGUUUCAGUGUGACCCAGUUCAAGAUUGAGACAAUGGAGUCUGUAAGUUGUCAAUCACUAAGGGUGAUUUCCUGACCUCUGAUGGAAGGACGACUUGAUUUUAGUCCUCUUGCUUGAUCUGUCUUUGGUGUCACAUGGUAUUGAAAGGACUUAGGCUCCCAGUAGCAGCUUGCGCCCACACGGUUGGAAUGUGUCAUUGCAAUUACCUCAACUUUUGGUUGAUGCUGAUUGAAGAUCGCCAUAAUAUCUCUUCCUCUUCAGCCUCAGCAACCACUGAUCUUUUGCAAAACAAGGAAAAUUUCUUUGGUUCCUCCUGACUCAGAAGUGGCAUUCUCCAGUGCACUGAAACAGUCCUGAGGGCCUAAUUUCCUGCACCUUUAUGCAGAGGCCACUUGUUCUCUAUGAAAGCUGCUUAUCAGCUUUUUAAAGCUGAAGGCCCCUGAGGAUUUCAUGUCACUCUUUAAAUGACGGACAGUUGGUGUCAAGGUCUCUCAAUCUUGAAUAUUCAAGUCUGAUUGGGAUUUCCUUAUCUGAAGAAGCAAGGUAAUAUAUAAUUAGGUUAUAAAAAAUAUGCAAAAAAAAUACUAUUGUAAAUAUGUUUUGAGUAAUAAAUCAUUAGUUAGCA